GUGACAAGGGCUCCGUGAUGGCUCGCCGGGAACGGGAACGUGCUGCUGCUGACGGAGCAGAUCCCAUCAGCUGCGGGAAGAGGAGUGACUGAGGAGUCCAAAAAAAGAUUUGAGUGAAAUGAAGCUGCCUGAGCUAAGCACCAGUGGCCCUGCCCAGCCUGUGCUCCCAAGGGGCUCAAACAAUAAAGACUGACUCUGUUAGUAACAGUUAUUUUGCAGAACAAGUCUAGAGAUCUAAUAAAAAACACAUAAAAAUCCAAAUCCACCAUUUUUUUCUUUCCCUGCAGACCCCAAGGAUCCACCUGCAACAAACUGACACACCAAGGUGGUGGCUAUGGCUGAGGAAAGCACAGCUACUGAGCAUGAGCAGCUCCUGAGGAGGGUGCAGGAGCUGGAAGUGGAGGUGAAGCGGCUGCAGGAGAAGCUCCAGGAGGACAAGGAGGGUGCAGGGAGGAAAGAGGCUCCUCCAGCCCCUGGGAAAGCCAGGAAACGCCAACAACGGCCCUUUGAUUUCGGUGCCCACAGCCGCAGACACGUGGCACUGCGCAUUGCCUACCUGGGCUGGGGCUACCAGGGCUUUGCCAGCCAGGAGAACACCCCCAACACCAUCGAGGAGAAGCUCUUUGAAGCCCUGAAGAAGACGCGGCUGGUGGACGACAGACAGACGUCCAACUACCACCGCUGCGGGCGCACGGACAAGGGUGUCAGCGCCUUCGGGCAGGUGAUCUCCCUGGAUCUCCGCUCCAGCCUGCCAGAGGGGCAGCAGCUCAACGGCCACGAGGGCGAGGGGCAGCAGGAGGAGCUCCGUUACACCCACAUCCUGAACAGGGUGCUGCCGCCCGACAUCCGGGUGCUGGCCUGGGCCCCCGUGGGGCCGGAGUUCAGCGCCCGCUUCAGCUGCCUGAGCCGGACCUACCGGUACUUCUUCCCCUGCGCCCAGCUGGACGUGGCCCUCAUGGACACCGCGGCCCAGCGCUACGUGGGCACCCACGACUUCCGCAACCUCUGCAAGAUGGACGUGGCCAACGGGGUGCUCAACUUCCAGAGGACGAUCCUCAGCGCCAGAGUGACAUGGGUGGACAGGGGAGGAGAAGCCAGGCCACGGGAUCCCUUCCGGCUGUGCCAGUUCGAGGUGACCGGGCAGGCAUUCCUGUACCACCAAGUCCGCUGCAUGAUGGCCGUGCUCUUCCUCAUUGGCCAGGGCAUGGAGAGCCCAGAUGUCAUUGAUGAGCUGCUGAACGUGGAGAAGAACCCCCGGAAACCACAGUACAGCAUGGCGGUCGAGUUCCCCCUGGUCCUGUACGACUGCGAGUUCCCAGACCUGCAGUGGCUCUAUGACCCAGAGGUGCAGGGCUUCAACGUGACACACUUGCAGCAGCUCUGGGCCAGCCACGCCGUCAAAACCCACGUGCUCCGGGACAUGUUGGCAGGGCUGGAUGCUGCUCCCAUGGCCAUCAGAAAAGAUUCAGGGAGCAGCCUGGUGCCCUGGGGUGAGCUGCAGCCCCCACUCCACAGCCAGAUCAGCGGCUUCGUGGAAGGGGUCCAAGCCCGCACCUACAAGCCCCUGCUGGCCCGGCCCAGAUGCGAGGGGCUGGAGGCCCGGAUCGAGCACUUCGUGCGGAGGGGCCGCAUCGACCCGCCCCAGGGCCCGGGGCUGCCGGGGGACUGGGCCGGGGAGCCCCCCGAGGGCAAGCGGGGCAGCAGCGCAGCCCCCGAGCAGCUGCCCAAGAGGAUGUGUAUGGACACCGAGUGACGGGGCACCUCGGCGGGGAGCAGCUGUCGCUUCAUCCUUUUUUAAAAUUACUGCGCUCCGCGGUGCCGUACCCGCGGCGCCGCCAUUGGCCAGCAGAGGGAGGCGGAGAAGGAGGUGGAAGAUGGCGGC